GGCCGCGUCCGGAGCUUGGCAACGCGCUUAACCAAUCAAGAGCUUCCAGAAGGGCUGAUAGGGAGGGGUGAAUUAUUAGCCAAUCCGAAAAGAGAGUCUUAUCGGAACCGGUAAGGAUGCAACCAAUGCAAUGUACUCUGGUGGAGGCAUGGGCGGAAGCUAGAGUUGAUUGGCAGAACGUUCCCCAAUUGCUGAGGCUGUUAUUCCUUGGGGGCCUGCGAAAAGAACGCCACAGCGGCCGGAGUUCUCAAGAAGCAACCUUCUUGACCUUCCAGAGAUAAUCGCUUGGUGACCGUGGACAUGCCAGCAAACUGGUCAGAAAUUUCUGUACCCAUUGAAUGCAUGUCUUGCUACUUUGCUUAGGCUGGUCUCAAACUCCUGGGCUCAAGUGAUCCUUUCACCUGAGCAUCUCCAAUAGCUAAGAUUACUGGCACAUUGAAACUGGCGUGUAGUACAUACCUACAAUCCCAGCACUAGGAAGACUGAGGAGAAUCGCUGUUGAGUUGAAGACCAACCUAGGCUACAUAAUGAGUGCAAAACCAGUCUGGACUAUAUAGUGACCUGUCUCAAAAAGAAGAUUACUGACAUGUGCCACCACACCCAGUUUACAAUCUCCCUUUGGACUUUUUCUCCUUCUCUUUAUAAGAACUGGAAAACAAGAGCUGGGAAUCCACACAGCAACAGCUGUGCAUCUGGAAUAAAUUCCUUUAGAAUAUACUCCCUUGGAAAUCCGAAGUUUUCUCAGAUUGGAUGACUGUAGCCACUGCCUGGACCUUUAAGUAAAUUCACACCUGUGUAUUUUAGUCAGUUGUGUGUACGUGCGCAUGUGUGCGUCUUUUUGUUACUGGGUUCCACUAUGCAGUUCAGGCUGGCCUUGAAUUUGAAAUGAUCCUCCUGCCUCCGUUCCCAAGUGCUGGGAUUACAAGUGUGCACCAUCACACUCAUCCUGUUUUACUGUUUUGCACUUGAACACCCAAGAGUUUUAAAUAUAGAAACAAGUCAGAGGAGGGUAGAGUUUAAUCACCCUUUGCACUUAAGCACAAUGUGUUUUUGGAUGGUUAUAUUUGGGUGUAGACUAUCAUUAAGGCUAGAGUAUUAUUUAGAUGCUGAGUUGUGUACUAGACAAGAGUUUCUUUGAAAAUCAAAACUAUAGGCUGUGGUAGCUUGGUGGUUGAACACUUGCCUGGCAUGCAUGAGCACCUAGGUUUGAUCCCUGUGACUGCAAAGGAGAAAAAAAAGCUGAAAGAGGAGUUGUUAAAGAGCACAGUGUGACUGAAGUGUGGACGAUGAGUACAGUAUAGUCCAAGCACAGCCAAGGAACAUGACCACUUAACCCCCCCUUCCAUAUUAACUGGCUUGUGUCUUGGGUGUGUGUUGGUAGACUCCUCUCUCCUUGCUUCUCCCCCUUAAAUUCUUUCCCUACCUCCCUUAUGAAUGACUCCCUCUGAGAUAGCAAGAGAAUUAAAAACUGUUGAGCAACACGUCCGCCUUCCUGGUAAGCAGCCAUGGCUCCAGCAAGCAACAGGCAAGCCAGGAAGAGAACCAGUCAGCAUCUCCUGUGAGCCUACCGUUGUGCGGGCUGAGAAUCAAACAUCCCAUUCCUCCACCCCCCAUUAGCAACUGGGCGCCAGAAGUCUGCACAUCUAUUGGGAGGAUGACCAUGUGCAAUACAGCAAAUACGGGGAUUUCCUUCUAUCUUCUUUUUGAAGGCAAAUGUUGUUUUCACUGUUUUGCUUUGUUCUGAUUGUUUUGCUCUAUUCAGUAUUGUGUUUAAUGGGUUUUAUAAUGUUCUGUUUUUGGUUUGAUUCUGCUAUACCUGACUGAGUGGACAACUACUGUGAAGAUAAGGAGAUACACUGUGGGUGUUACUGUUAUCCCGGUGUAACUGUUAUGUUAUCCCAGUAUCCUGCUGUGAAGUUCUGUACUAAUUUCACUAUAUUAUCUCGAUUGGCUUUGUUCUGUCUAGUUCUGUUGUAUUUUACUACCUUCAAAAUUAAAAAAAAAAGAAUUGAAAA